rnacentral:lncRNA from 1 species
UGUCAUUAUCAGUUCCAUAGACAUAAAACAUUUAAGGUGAGUGUACAGUAGGAAUAUUCAAUUAUCAUUCUAUAGACAUAUAAACAUUUAAGGUGAGUGUACAGUAGGAUUAUGUCAUUAUCAGUUACUUCUAUAGACAUAAACAUUUAAGGUGAGUGUACAGUAGGAUUAUGUCAUUAUCAGUUAUCAGUUCCAUAGACAUAAAACAUUUAAGGUGAGUGUACAGUAGGAUUAUGUCAUUAUCAGUUCUAUAAGACAUAAAACAUUUAAGGUGAGUGUACAGUAGGUCAUUAUCAUUAGUAUCAUUAUCAGUCCAUAGACAUAAAACAUUUAAGGUGAGUGUACAGUAGGAUUAUGUCAUUAUCAGUUCCAUAGACAUAAAACAUUUAAGGUGAGUGUACAGUAGGAUUAUGUCAUUAUCAGUUCCAUAGACAUAAAACAUUUAAGGUGAGUGUACAGUAGGAUUAUGUCAUUAUCAGUUCCAUAGACAUAAAACAUUAAGGUGAGUGUACAGUAGGAUUAUGUCAUUAUCAGUUCUAUAGACAUAAAACUGAGUACAGUAGGAUUAUGUCAUUAUCAGUUCUAGAUCAUAAAACAUUUAAAGGUGAGUGUACAGUAGAUUAUGUCAUAUCAGUUCUAUAGACAUAAAACAUUUAAUGAGUGUACAGUAGGAUUUGUCAUUAUCAGUUCUAUAGAAUAAAACAUUUAAGGUGAGUGUACAGUAAUUUAUGAUUAUCAUAGUCAUUUAGUGUACUAGCAUUUCCAUAGACAUAAAACAUUUAGGGAGUGUACAGUAGGAUUAGUCAUUAUCAGUUCCAUAGACAUAAACAUUUAAGGUGAGUGUACAGUAGGACUAUGUCAUUAUCAUCCAUAGACAUAAAAACAUAUAAGGUGAGGUACAGUAGGAUUAUGUCAUUUUUGUCGAGCCUGCAACUUUUGUUGCAGAAAGCUCGACAUAGGGAUAGUGAUCCGGCGGUGGCGGCUACGGCGGCGGCGUUAGCUCACUUCUUAAAAGCUUUAUAUUUUAGAAGGUGGAAGACCUGGAUGCUUCAUACUUUGUAUAUAGAUGCUUCAUGUUAUGAAGUUUCUGUCAGUCACAUGUCCAAUGUCCUUGACCUCAUUUUCAUGGUUCAGUGACCACUUGAAAAAAAAAGUUUAAAUUUUUUGUAAUGUUGAUUUCUCUCUUAUUAUAAGUAAUAGGAUAACUAUAUUUGAUAUGUGCCUACCUUGCAAGGUCCUCAUGUCUGUCAGACAGUUUUCACUUGACCUUGACCUCAUUUCAUGGAUCAGUGAACAAGGUUAAGUUUUGGUGGUCAAGUCCAUAUCUCAGAUACUAUAAGCAAUAGGGCUAGUAUAUUCAGUGUAUGGAAGGACUGUAAGGUGUACAUGUCCAACUGGCAGGUGUCAUCUGACCUUGACCUCAUUUUCAUGGUUCAGUGGUUUAUAUUAAAUUUUUGUGUUUUGGUCUGUUUUUCUCAUACUAUAUGUAAUAGGUCUACUAUAAAAUUUGUUGUAUGGAAUGAAUUGUAAGGUGUACAUGUCUAGCGGGCAGAUGUCAUGAGACCCUGACCUCAUUUUCAUGGUUCAGUGGUCAAAGUUAAGUUUUUGAGUUUUGGUCUUUUUAUCUAGUACUAUAUGCCAUAGGUCAACUAUAAUUGGUGUAUGAAUGGAAAUAUUUUAUGAUCUUUAUGUCAGUCGCACAGGUUUUAUUUGACCUUGACCUCAUUUUCACGGUUCAUUGCACAGUGUUAAGUUUUUGUGUUUUUGUCUAUUUUUCUUAAACUAUAAGUAAUGGGUCAACUAUAUAUGUUGUAUAGAAGCAUUGUUAGCUGUACAUGUCUGCUUGGCAUCUUUCAUCUGACAUUGACCUCAUUUUCAAGGUUCAUUGGUCUUUGUUUAGUUUUCUUAGUUAAUGUUAAGUUUAUGUGACAGUUGUAAUAAAGCUUAGCUUUAUACAGGACUAUCAACAUAAUAUCAAUGAUUAGUAUAGAAGGCGAGACAUUUCAGUGUGUGCACUCUUGUCAGUUCUAUAGACAUAAAACAUUUAAGGUGAGUGUACAGUAGGAUUAUGUCAUUAUCAGUUCCAUAGACAUAAAAAACAUUUAAGGUGAGUGUACAGUAGGAUUAUGUCAUUAUCAGGUCCAUAGACAUAAAAAUUUAAGUGAGUGUACAGUAGGAUAUGUCAUUAUCAGUUCCAUAGACAUAAACAUUUAAGGUGAGUGUACAGUAGGAUUAUGUCAUUAUCAGUUCCAUAGACAUAAAACAUUUUAAGGUGAGUGUACAGUAGGAUUAUGUCAUUAUCAGGUCCAUAGACAUAAAAAUAUUUAAGGUGAGUGUACAGUAGGAUUAUGUCAUUAUCAGUUCCAUAGACAUAAAACAUUUAAGGUGAGUGUACAGUAGGAUUAUGUCAUUAUCAGGUCCAUAGACAUAAAAUAUUUAAGGUGAGUGUACAGUAGGAUUAUGUCAUUAUCAGUUCCAUAGACAUAAAACAUUUAAGGUGAGUGUACAGUAGGAUUAUGUCAUUAUCAGUUCCAUAGACAUAGAACAUUUAAGGUGAGUGUACAGUAGGAUUAUGUCAUUAUCAGUUCCAUAGACAUAAAACAUUUAAGGUGAGUGUACAGUAGGAUUAUAUCAUUAUCAGUUCUAUAGACAUAAAACAUUUAAGGUGAGUGUACAGUAGGAUUAUGUCAUUAUCAGUUCUAUAGACAUAAAACAUUUAAGGUGAGUGUACAGUAGGAUUAUGUCAUUAUCAGGUCCAUAGACAUAAAACAUUUAAGGUGAGUGUACAGUAGGAUUAUGUCAUUAUCAGUUAUCAGUUCUAUAGACAUAAAACAUUUAAGGUGAGUGUACAGUAGGAUUAUGUCAUUAUUCAGUGCUCUAGACAUAAAACAUUUAAGGUGAGUGUACAGUAGGAUUAUGUCAUUAUCAGUUAUCAGUUCUAUAGACAUAGAAACUUUAAGGUGAGUGUACAGUAGGAUUAUGUCAUUAUCAGGUCCAUAGACAUAAAAAACAUUUAAGGUGAGUGUACAGUAGGAUUAUGUCAUUAUCAGUUCCAUAGACAUAAAACAUUUAAGGUGAGUGUACAGUAGGAUUAUGUCAUUAUCAGUUCUAUAGACAUAGAACAUUUAAGUUGAGUGUACAGUAGGAUUAUGUCAUUAUCAGUUCCACAGACAUAAAACAUUUAAGGUGAGUAAAAUGUGCAGUAUGAUUAUGUCAUUAUUAAGGUGAGCUUGGAAGCAGAGUGUAAACUAUGUCAUGUCUACCUCAGUUAUCUGACCCUUGACCUAAUAUUUGUUUUGCCUUGGCAGAGUCGAGAAGACGAAAUUAGGUAAAUGUAUGCUGUUUAUGGUGGCUCCAGUGGUGUCAACAAUAUAUUAGUUUGUGAUACGGUCUCUAUAUGUGGACCCAUUUGUCGAGGAUUGCGGGAACGUAAAACAAUACUAUUUGUUCUGUCGCCACUAACUACAUGUAUAUGACAUCACAUAUUUGUAAAAUAUUGUAACAAGGUUUAUGCUUAUACUUAAAUAGAAUAUUGAACUGUACAGUAGUAUUUUCUAGAGAUCAACCUAGUCUUAUCACAAUGCCAAGUAUACAUCUCAAAACGUUACAUUGGUGCCGUGACCAGGAUGUCGAGGAUUGUGGGAAAGUCUCAUUUUGAUCAGGAUUGUUUGGCCUUGUAACUGUAGUUAUUAAUUACUGACUGAAUAUUUUGCAUAACUGGCAUUAUGUACAUAUUAAAGUGUUCGCUAUUUUCAUUAGAAAAUUUGCAUUUUACUAUCUAAAUAACAAAUAGGCGAGACAUAUCUCUCUGUUUCAAAGGUUUAACCCUUUCAACACUACACAGAAAAAAUAGAAAAAUGGCUGCUGCUACUGAAUUUUUUGUGUUCAUUCAUUAGAACAGUAUAUUCCUUUUCCGUCUUCAUUUAUUUUUCUGUUUUAUCUGCAAUAUAAUAAAGAAGACACCAGUUGCGUAUUGCACCGUACACAACGUAUUAUGUAUUUGUCGCACUAAUAAGUGGCUCCGUUCUCAAAAUUUUCAGUCAGCCUCCGUUUUCCCCCUUUUUUCUACGUCUCAUAAUGAUCAAUCAAAUCAUAUUUCCCACCUGAAUUAAAUGUAAUAAACACAUUGAGAUAACAAGAAACCUUUUAACUAAUCGACAUUGUCAGUUUCUCCAUAGAAAUGCUGAAAUAUUUACAUAUUUACAGCUUCGUUUCUGAUUUGCGGCAUUUGCAUUUGCUUAAGAGUCCUGAUGAAAAUUCCAUUGUCAUCGAAAAGCAGAGGUUGUCGGCGGCUUUCAUCUUGGCGUUGAAAGGGUUAAAACCAGAAAUAAAUGUCUACACAUCAUAUUUCUAUAUAUAGAAGUUAAUUUUCCAUUGCAGUUUAAGAACUGGAGGUUCCCAAGGGUGAACAAUAGGAUUUAAAUGUCUACACAUCAUAUUUCUAUUUAUAGAAGUUUAUUUUCUAUUUGCAGUUUAAGAACUGGAGGUUCCCAAGGGUGAACAAUAGAGAUAAAUGUCUACACAUCAUAUUUCUAUUCAAUCUGGUUGUUAUGAUUGGAUGUGCUGUGGCUACAAUUAUGUGCUUUCUAUCUGAUAAAGGACAGAUAACAAAGUUCCCUAAAAACAAGGUAGAGUUAACGACAGAAGAGAUCAUCACAUUAGGGUGUGGAGUGGCAUUCUUUGUGGCCUUUUUCAUUGCAAUGACAGUGGAGAUAAAAGCUAAACACACUGUGUAUAAAUUGUGUAUGAGAUUUAUUAUGCAUAACACAGAAUGGGCUGUGGACUCUUAUGAUCGCAACAAAGACCUUGAUAUCAAUAAACCUCCCAAAGCACAGUAUGUUUAAUGUACCUCAUCUCUACAGAUCAUUAUAUAUAUUUUGUCAGAGUUAUGUCCCCUGACUAGUGUAUCCUUGAUAUUAUCAAUUUUGUACAAAGCAAUCAUCAAAAUUAUUUAGCUAGGUGUGUGAACCUAUAAGAUAUGCAUAGCUUACAAAUGAGUAAUUAUGUUUUGUGCAAUAGGAAGCUUCUAUAAGUUUUGUAUUUCUGAUUGUGGUAAAAGAAAUGUAUAAACUCAACUAUGUAUUCAUAACUUUUACUCCAACUUCCCUAUCUUCAGAUAAAAAAAAUGAAGACCUAUAUUAAAGUAGAAUUUGAACUUGAAAUAUGAUGUGCAUGUGUUUCAAAAGUCCAUAAUAUAUUUCACUCAGAUAGAUAAUUAUCAAAUGUGAUUGAUUUUUCAAUUCUCUGUAGGCCUGUUCAUUUCUAAUGUUGAUCGUUGAUACACAACAACAUGAGUUAGGUCAUUAAUUUAAUUAUACAUCCAAAAGUGACCCACAUUUACUUUGUCUGUGUGUCCUAAUCUGACUUCAUAAGUUUCUAUGCUUCACAAAAAGUGAUUCAGGAUAUAUCUACUUCAUCUUUAAAUUACAACAAGUUUAAUUAUCAGGAUUAUAAGAAAUAAUCUUUUGAUCUUGUAAUGAAUACAGAAAUGUUAAUAGACUAAAUAUAGUAUGUAACUUAUCAUUCAUUAAUUGACAACCCCAAAAAGUUUUUAUUUUAAAAGUAUUAAUUUCUAUGUUAACCAUGAUUCAGGAGUAUAAAUGUAUAACUAGUUUUUUGCUCCUAAGAAGAACAUUGACAUUUUGUCCUGUGACUGGGUGUAUGUUAAUUUUGUCUGACUUUUUGUCUUGUGAUUUUCUGUCCUCCAGUCAUGCUAAACAUGUUAAAAGUUGGUUAUGUUUGUGUAUAUACUGAAAGUGAUUGUUAAAUAAGAGUAGAUUAAAUAUGUGUGCAAGAUAAAUGUUUCAAUAUAUAUAUAUGUGCAUGAAGUGUAUACUGUAUGUGUAUAUAUUAAUGAAGUUAUGUUUGUAACAUGAAUGAUUUGUUGUCGAGCCUGCAACUUUUGUUGCAGAAAGCUCGACAUAGGGAUAGUGAUCUGGCGGCGGCGGCGUUAGCUAACUUCCUAAAAGCUUUAUAUUUUAGAAGGAGGAAGAGUUGGAUGUUUCAUACUUUGUAUAUAGAUGCCUCAUGUUACGAAGUUUCCGUCAGUCACAUGUCCAAUGUCCUUGACCUCAUUUUCAUGGUUCAGUGAACACUUGAAAAAAAAGUUCAAAUUUUUUGUAAUGUUGAAUUCUCUCUUAUUAUAAGUAAUAGGAUAACUAUAUUUGAUAUGUGCAUACCUUGCAAGGUCCUCAUGUCUGUCAGACAGUUUUCCAUUGACCUUGACCUCAUUUCAUGAAUCAGUGAACAAGGUUAAGUUAAGUUUUGGUGGUCAAGUUCAUAUCUCAGAUACUAUAAGCAUUAGGGCUAGUAUAUUCGGUGUAUGGAAGGACUGUAAGGUGUACAUGUCCAACUGGCAGGUGUCAUCUGACCUUGACCUCAUUUUCAUGGUUCAGUGGUUAUAGUUAAAUUUUUGUAUUUUGGUCUGUUUUUCUCAUACUACAUGCAAUAGGUCUACUAUAUUUGUUGUAUGGAAUGAUUGUAAGGUGUACAUGUCUAGCGGGCAGAUGUCAUGUGACCUUGACCUCAUUUUCAUGGUUCAGUGGUCAAAGUUAAGUUUUUGAGUUUUGGUCUUUUUAUCUAAUACUAUAUGCCAUAGGUCAACUAUUUUGGUGUAUGGAAAUAUUUUUAUGAUCUUUAUGUCAGUCACGCAGGUUUUAUUUGACCGUGACCUCAUUUUCACGGUUCAUUGCACAGUGUUAAGUUUUUGUGUUUGGUCUAUUUUUCUUAAACUAUAAGUAAAAGGUCAACUAUAUAUGUUGUAUAGAAGCAUUGUUAGCUGUACAUGUCUGCCUGGCUUGGUUCAUCUGACCUUGACCUCAUUUUCAAGGUUCAUUGGUCUUUGUUUAGUUAUCUUGGUUAACUUUAAGUUUAUGUGACAGUUGUUAUAAAGCUUAGCUUUAUACUUAGGACUAUCAACAUAAUAUCAAUGAUUACUAUAGAAGGCGAGACAUUUCAGCGUGUUCACUCUUGUUUGAAGAUGGCUAUUAGUUUGUGUGUGAUAUUUCUGUUAUUAUGUGUUUUUAAUAUCACACUGUACAUGAACUGAUACACAAUAGGCUUUAGUUUGGUUAGCUUAUUACACCGACUUUAUGUGUCAGAACUUUGGUGGAUAGUUGUUUUAUUGGCAAUUAUACCACUUACUUCAUUUCAACUCUCAAUAUAUAAUUUGAAUAAUUGGAAGAAGUUGAAGAAGAAGGCUUGUUUAUUAUUAUAUUAAAAUUGAAUAACUUGAGAUGAUAUGAAGGAAUAACCAAUUCUCACUAGUUAUGGAGCCUAUAAAUAAACAUGAUAUUCAUGUGCAGUAAAUGUUGAAUAUAUAAUUGGUGCUGUUUUGAUGUAUGUCAUGGUUUGUAUGGUCUAUUGUGUUAACUGUUGAUUGGAAAUUACAUUCAAUAUUUGAACACAAAAUGUUUGCUAUCGAAAGUUGUAAAUGUUGAAUGGAUAACUGUUUGAAGUGUGUAUUAUGCUUAUAUGGUGUAAAAAUUUAUUCACAUGAAGUAAAAUAUUAAGUAAAUUGCAUUUUUAAACUUAUAAAAAAUAAAGAGCCACAUUUAUCACAACCAGUAGUGAAAUAGAAUAUUUGAAGUUGGAGGCGAAAAAAAGAAAAAGUAAAAAACAUUUAUCAUUAGAGCCACUAGAGGGGUGGUGCUCAUUUUCCCCAUAUCUUUCUAUGUUUUCUAUAGUUUUUGUUCAGGUCUAUAUGAUUUUGAAGUAUACUGAUAUUUCUAUAUGAAGAUAACUUCAAAUGCAAAAUAUUCUUAAGCUUGAAAACGUGUUUGUUUGAAAAUAAUCAUCUGAAAAAUUUGAUUAAAGAGUGUUUGAAAUUUCCUGAUAUUUUGUCAACGGGGACACAUAUUCGCCGUUUUUAUACAUCUAUUUAAACCCAAAUAACUGCAGCUUUAAACAAUAUUUUUCAAAUCAAUUUCAUUAUAGAUGAAUAGCAGACAUUUUUCAAAGGUGUACAGAACUGAAAUUUAGGGCAAUCAGUCAAAGAAUUACCAAGAAAUUCUUCCUUGAAAUUAAAUUUUUCAUUCAGGAAAUUGGCCUGCAAAUCGUUGUCCGAUUUUCGGUCCUUUGCGGUAAUUAAGUGCCGCAAUUUCGUCGUAUUUUAAAAAAUAAUCAUAUUUGUUGUACAAAUCUAAUUUACCGGCAUAUUUCUUCCAUUUCAGCUAUUGUUUGAAGUUUUUACACCUUAAAAAUAAUAAAACGGUGAAAAUGUGACCCCGGCGAAUAUAUGCGCCCCACUCUAUUUGACCCAUGAAAUUGAAAAAAAGUAAAUUUAAUUUCUUUUAAAUGUAUGAUUAUUUUGUUGAUAAAUUGAAUAAGAAGAUAUUUAAAAUUAAUGUGUAAAUGUGUAAAAGAAAAUAUUUGGCUCACAUCAACAUCUAUGUAAAUAUGGUAAAAGACACAGCCCAGUAUUCUAAGUAAGGAUGUUGCCAAUAUCUAUCAAUAUAUGAUAACCUGUUGUAGUUUUAUUUAUGCUAAAAAGACUUACAAGGCCUAAACAAAAUAUGUGAGAUAACAUUCAGAAAUUGUCCUGGAAUCUGACAGAUAUAAAUGAUUUGAAAGAUCUUAGAAGUUUUAUAAUAAUAAAGAAUAAAAAAUGUGGCAUCAUUAUGCCUUUUCUAUUUCUGUAAGUUAAGUGCUAAUUGUUUAUAAUUUAAUUUUGGAUGUAACACGUCUUCUGAUUGGCUGACGUUAUUUUGUUAUGAGCCCAUAGACAUAAUUUAGUCAUGUGGCCGUAAAGUCAUCAACGUUUUUUCAUGGUUUUCUACGGUUUAAAAUGGAAUUGAGAAUUAAAUUAUAAGAAAUGACUGUAAUAUUUUUCCUGUCUAUUCGAAAUAACAUAAAAAAAUGUGGUGCACACUGUUAAAUAACCCGCUACGCACGUUAUUCAGUGUGCACCACAUUUUUUAUGUUAUUUCUUCAUAGACAGAAAAAAUAUUACAGUCAUUCCUUAAAUGAUUAUAAUGUUAGACCCCUUGUACUUAAGAAAUGUAUUAUAAUUAAGGGUAUUGUAAUAUCUUACUCAUUGUAAUGGACUAUACAUGUAUUUUGAAUAGGCGAUUUUGGUGCACUUUAUACUUUAUACUAGAGAUUUACCUUUACCUAUAUUGUGAUACAUCUGAUAUACAGAGUAUAUAUCAUCUCUGUUUAAAGUACAAACACUGUACAUAUAUAAAAUAGGGUUUGUUUCUAAGGAAAAGGGACACAUUAUAUAUGUAGAGAAAAUAUAGAUUAAUUUCUAAGUUUUUAUUUUCCUUUUGUAUUUUUGUUGUUUAUUUAUAAAACCUAUUAUCAAGCAUGGAUGUUGUUUUGACAUGAAUUAUAUUAGUUGAAAAUGAGACGUUAAUUUGGUUAAUACAAUCUGUAUCACUUGAUUUAUUUAUGAUUAUUGAUAUUGUUAAGUUGCUUUGGUUAUUUACAUAUUUGCUACUUGAUAUUAAGCAAUCAAUCAGUGAUUUAUACUAUAGUUGUUUUUUUUUUUCCAUUGGAUCUUAAUUUUUGUUUUCACAUAAUGUAUAUAUAUGAAAUAAAGUUAUUGAAAAUUAAAAUAAAAAUUUUCUGAGAACAUUUAUAGAAUAAAAUAUUUGAAAUUUGAAAAGUUGUAUUUGAAGCACAUAUGUAAGCCAGCUUUAAAGUGUAUUCCUCAUUGUUUAUAGUAAUAUAUUUAGAUUUUUCAUGUGAUGAGUACUUGUAGAAAUGUAUGUGUGUUAUUUGUUGGGGUAGAUCAAACUUUUGGUUCCUUUGAAUCAUUUGGGGUUUUUUUUAUUAAAAAGUAGAAACAGAGCAAAAGGAUUGACAAAAACUGUAAAUAAAAUAUUAGAACUUUGAACAAUAAAUAACCGUAAAGAAAUUAUGAAACUUGCAAGGGAAAUAAUUCAUGCUGAAUAUGCAUAAUGUAACCAGACAGUAUUGGAUGAUAUUUGUCUUAUUGCAUUAGUUUGAAGUAGAACUACACAAAUCUUUAAUGUUUGUACCACUUACAAUUUAAGUAAAUAGCUGUGUUUUACCCUUUGACAACAAGUGUAUAUUAUUAAUAUAUCAUACAAGUGCUUGUGGAUGCAUUUAGUUAUAAAAUAUUAAUGUUUUAUUUUGUUAUAUAUACUUUUGUUUAGUGCUAUUGUGUGGUUAAAACCUCAGCAACAAAGUUGGUGAGGAAAUUUGUUGUUUUAAACUUGUCUUAAAAGACGAACUUUGUUAAAAUGUGUCAGGAGCUGAAUAGUUAAAUAACCUAAUAACAGGAGUGUAUAAUUCACUUGGAACUCUCCAAGAUUUACACAGUAAAGAGUAAUGAAGUAUAUAUGAAGUAUAAUUAACGUUGAACUCUCCAAGAUUUACACAGUAAAGAGUAAUGAAGUAUAUAUGAAGUAUAAAAGACGUAUAAAUGGCAAAUUGUAGAUAGAAUUUCCUCCUGUUUAUCUUAUUUGUUUGUUUUUCAUUAAAUAUAUACAUUG